UAUCGCAAUACUUAGCAUAUCGUAGAAUCGCAAUACUAUCGUAUCGUGGCUUAAGUAUCGCGAUAGUAUCGUAUCGUAGGGAGCCUGUGGUGAUUCCCAGGCCU